GUGGGGAAUUUUGGACAAUGGGCGAAAGCCUGAUCCAGCAAUGCCGCGUGUGUGAAGAAGGCCUUCGGGUUGUAAAGCACUUUUGGCAGGGAAGAAACAGUGCGUGCUAAUACCAUGCGCGAAUGACGGUACCUGCAGAAUAAGCACCGGCUAACUACGUGCCAGCAGCCGCGGUAAUACGUAGGGUGCAAGCGUUAAUCGGAAUUACUGGGCGUAAAGCGUGCGCAGGCGGCUUUGUAAGACGGAUGUGAAAGCCCCGGGCUCAACCUGGGAAGUGCAUUCGUGACUGCAAGGCUAGAGUGUGUCAGAGGGAGGUGGAAUUCCGCGUGUAGCAGUGAAAUGCGUAGAGAGGCGGAGGAACACCGAUGGCGAAGGCAGCCUCCUGGGAUAACACUGACGCUCAGGCACGAAAGCGUGGGGAGCAAACAGGAUUAGAAACCCCUGUAGUCC
rnacentral:rRNA from 1 species